rnacentral:rRNA from 1 species
UACGGAGGGAGCUAGCGUUGUUCGGAAUUACUGGGCGUAAAGCGCGCGUAGGCGGCUUUGUAAGUUAGAGGUGAAAGCCCGGGGCUCAACCCCGGAAUUGCCUUUAAGACUGCAUCGCUUGAAUCCGGGAGAGGUGAGUGGAAUUCCGAGUGUAGAGGUGAAAUUCGUAGAUAUUCGGAGGAACACCGAUGGCGAAGGCAAUCCCCUGGGCCUGCACUGACGCUCAUGCACGAAAGCGUGGGGAGCAAACAGG